rnacentral:rRNA from 1 species
CUGCGAGUGAAGCGGGAAAAGCUCAGACUGAAAAUCUUCGGAAUUGUAGUCUGGAGAAGUAUGGUCAGCCGAUGAUGAUGAGUGAAGUCUUCUGGAAAGGAGCGCCUUGGAGGGUGAUAGCCCCGUUCAUACUUAUCAUUAGAAGCGUACGACCUGCUUUCUACGAGUCGUGUUGUUUGGGACUGCAGCACUAAGUGGGUGGUAAAUUCCAUCUAAAGCUAAAUAUUGGUGGGAGACCGAUAGCGAACAAGUACCGUGAGGGAAAGAUGCAAAGAACUUUGAAAAGAGAGUUAAGUAGUACCUGAAAUUGCUGAAAUGGAACCGAUGGGAAGCAGUGUCGGUGGCGGGUAUUUAUACCUGUCACAAGCCAGGCUUCUUUUCUGGUGCGGGAAAGGCUGAUAAACUAGUUUAGGUUAUCUACGCCGUCGUGCUAGCGAAG